UACAGAGGGGGCAAGCGUUAUUCGGAAUUAUUGGGCGUAAAGGGCGCGUAGGCGGCUUGGCAAGUGGAAGGUGAAAUCCCUCGGCUUAACCGAGGAACUGCCCUCCAAACUGCUUCGCUUGAGACCGGGAGAGGUGAGUGGAAUUCCCAGUGCAGCGGUGAAAUGCGUAGAUAUUGGGAGGAACACCAGUGGCGAAGGCGGCUCUCUGGGACGGUACUGACGCUGAGACGCGAAAGCGUGGGGAGCGAACAGG
rnacentral:rRNA from 1 species